CCUUGACAUGCUGAGAACUUUCCAGAGAUGGAUUGGUGCCUUCGGGAACUCAGACACAGGUGCUGCAUGGCUGUCGUCAGCUCGUGUCGUGAGAUUGUUGGGUUAAGUCCCGUAACGAGCGCAACCCUUGUCCUUAGUUACCAGCACCUCGGGUGGGCACUCUAAGGAGACUGCCGGUGACAAACCGGAGGAAGGUGGGGAUGACGUCAAGUCAUCAUGGCCCUUACGGCCAGGGCUACACACGUGCUACAAUGGUCGGUACAAAGGGUUGCCAAGCCGCGAGGUGGAGCUAAUCUCAUAAAACCGAUCGUAGUCCGGAUCGCAGUCUGCAACUCGACUGCGUGAAGUCGGAAUCGCUAGUAAUCGUGAAUCAGAAUGUCACGGUGAAUACGUUCCCGGGCCUUGUACACACCGCCCGUCACACCAUGGGAGUGGGUUGCUCCAGAAGUAGCUAGUCUAACCUUCGGGGGGACGGUUACCACGGAGUGAUUCAUGACUGGGGUGAAGUCGUAACAAGGUAGGCGUAGCGAG
rnacentral:rRNA from 1 species